CAGGCGGCUGGCGGCCGGGUCAAGGAGGCGGGCGCAGGUCUCGUCGGGGGCACUCGCCCUCCCUUCCCGGGGAGUAAAAAAAGAGAGAGAGAAAAUCAAGUCGCAGCCAGCUUGGGCCAGUGUUGCGGGUAACACUGAUGCUGCUGUUCUGGGGACCAUGCACUGAAAAUCACAGCUUUGAUGGGUGAGGAGUCCACGGCCAAUGGAUUUCAAGUUCUGGUCAAAUGACUGAAAUCAUCCCUUUUGUGAAGGGCUUCAUUAAAUUGUCUUCACCAAAUGCCAUUAGACAUUUGGUUUAUUUAA